UAUUGCACAAUGGGCGAAAGCCUGAUCCACCCAUGCCGCGUGUAAAAAAAGGUUUUCGGAUUGUAAAGCACUUUAAGUUGGGGGGAAGGGCAGUUUCCUAAUACGUUAUUGUUUUGACGUUACCCACAAAAAAAGCCCCGGCUAACUCUGUCCCCGCCGCCGCGGAACACAGGGGGUGCAAGCUUUUAUCAAAAUUUCUGGGAAAAAGCGCGCGUGGGUGGUUUGAAACUCGAUGUAAAUCCCCGGGCUCCCCCUGGAACCGCAUUCAAAACUGGCUACUAAGUUUGGAAAGGGGUGGUAAUUUCCUGUGAGCGGUAAAUGCGAAAUGAAGAACACCAAGUGGCAAGGAGCCUCCUGACCAAUCUGCUCUGAGUGAGUUGA
rnacentral:rRNA from 1 species